AUUGAACGCUGGCGGAAUGCUUUACACAUGCAAGUCGAGCGGCAGCGCGGGGCAACCUGGCGGCGAGCGGCGAACGGGUGAGUAAUGCAUCGGAACAUGUCCAUGUCGUGGGGGAUAGCCCGGCGAAAGCCGGAUUAAUACCGCAUACGCUCGAGAGAGGAAAGCCGGGGACCGCAAGGCCUGGCGCGAUUGGGUUGGCCGAUGUCCGAUUAGCCAGUUGGUGAGGUAAAGGCUUACCAAGGCGAUGAUCGGUAGCUGGUCUGAGAGGAUGAUCAGCCACACUGGGACUGAGACGCGGCCCAGACUCCUACGGGAGGCAGCAGUGGGGAAUUUUGGACAAUGGGGGCAACCCUGAUCCAGCCAUUCCGCGUGAGUGAAGAAGGCCUUCGGGUUGUAAAGCUCUUUUGUCCGGAGCGAAACGGUGCUGGUGAAUAUCCAGCGCUACUGACGGUACCGGAAGAAUAAGCACCGGCUAACUACGUGCCAGCAGCCGCCGUAAUAC
rnacentral:rRNA from 1 species